GGCUUUUGAGGAAAGUGUAGUGUAACUCCAAAGCCAAGAUAAGACGCCAACGUGUAAUUUAAAUUCUGAAAAACAAUAGACUAAAUUUUCCAUUGUGAGGCAUAUGAACAUUGAGAGACGCUCUAAAUCGCUUCUUUAAAAAAAAAUCCGAGAUAGGCCUACACACCGUAUAAUUGCCGAACUCAAAAUGAUGGAUAAUGCCAGUCGCUGGGUUUUCGCCCACUCACCGCCCGUGCACCCCAGCGCAGCGUCCCUGCUCCUGCAGUUCGCGUGAGAAAGCGGAGCUCCGGUAUGGAGGGGUGGGCUUGCUCUUCCGGACAAUCCUAAAUCUGCUUGGUCAGUCAAUUGAAGGCAGCAGCCCCUGGAAAGACAAGUGUCUUAAACGCUGCAGAACAAAGAUCGAAGGACGUGAUACUUUUUCUUGGUCACGGAGGUGCACAUAUUCGCGCGCUACAGCUUCUGUAAAUGCGAGGAUCUUGGCCUUUGGAGUCAUGCGAUCUACCACUCAGGCUUCACGCAGCCCACAGCAAAUUGAAAUUCCCUUGAAGAAUCUCCCUUUCUGAGUAAUGACUGUAAAGGCAGCUGAAGUCUUCAGUUCUUUGGCACGCAACAACCAAACACCUGUCACACACCUUCAAACCAGGUGCUGCAGCUUUCCUCUACGGUUCCUCGAACACCAGCUCUGAGGAUGUGGCCCCAAGAUCCAAAGUUUUCUCAUAACCGCUGGGGUUUGUGGUCCUUCGCCCGACUUACUCCGUUUAACUUUUUGUGAACAAACAAGGUAUAACAGCACGCAAUAUGUUUCUAGCUUCAGCUUUAGAAUUCAUUGAACUUAAAUGUACCAUUGUAACCCAUGUAAUUGUGACACCCACACAUCAUGACAUCACAUUUUAUUUUCCACAUUUAGCCUUUGUAGGAGGUGCAAUGUGGGAGAUGUGUGUGUGAGGAUGAAAGAGGGAAAUGAACUGAAAAGGUCAAUAUCUUCUUUACGUGAGGAGGCCUGGUCUCUCAGGCACUACCCACCAUAUGUAGUGCUGAAAGUCAUUGUGUGCCAAGGCUUUAUCUUUUAAUCAGUUGUGUUCACCACCAGUUAAUCAUUUGUACAUGCCAAGACUCAGACACAUUGGAUUCAUUACACGCAGAGGGAAAAUAGAAGCUUGAUGACCUGAUAGGUGCUAAUGCUGUGUGUGAUUACUACAAAACUACACAGGUCUGGACAAUCAUGUGGUUUACUUGGGAAGGGUGUUCUUUGACAAUAUUCCUGAUCUCAACUGAUCACGUGCAUGUUGGGUUGACACUAUUUCUUUCUGUGUAUGCUCAGAAUUCGUUUUUUAAAAAUUAAUUGUGUGGGAGAAAAAAAGAUUGGGAGAGAGACAGAGAGACAGAGAGAGAGAUAAAGACAGAGAGAGUGUGUGAGAGAGAGUGAUGUUGACUGCAGUGUAGUCGCUGUCCUGCCUGUGCUGUAUGAAGGAGAAGCUAUAAUCCGGUGGCCUGUGAGCCUCUACCGCCCCACACAGCAGGACAUUGUGACAAGGAACCACCAAGGAGACACAGCACCGCAGGUCACGACCUCUGAGGGCUCCAUGCCACAAGGACAAUGGUACACAUGGCAAUGGAGCAAUACCCAGCCUUUACUGAGUGUUUGUGUGUGUGUGUUCCUGUGUGUGUUUAUGUAUGGUACUUGAUGUAGGUAUGUGUAUGCGUGUGAGAGGGAGGGAGUGACAGUCAGAAAGUGAUAAACAUAUAGACUCUCCCUGUUUUGGUGUGCUUGUGUAUGCCCAUGGGUGUUACCUGUCCUGAAUAAACAACCAUCCCCGCAGGGCCCUGGUGUUCCCCAUCCACCCACCCCACCUCAGCUCAGCUCUCUGACUCAGGGGCUACAAGGCAAGCAUCCCAAACAGAAAAACAACCUCCACCUCCUCCUCCAGUAGCUUAUACAGUAACAUAUACGGGGAGGCAACGUUAUGUUUGUCUGUCUAACUAACUGCUUGGCACCAUCCCCUCACUUUACCCCCUGCAGGCCUCCUGCUCCUGAGAGGAGAUGAAUACACUCAAUCAAACCAGUGCUCUCUGUCCUGGCCGUGUAUUAACCCGCUGAAGAAUGGCAGCAAAUCAGUAGUUUGAUUAUGUAAAGUAAAACCACAGGAGGUGCAUGCAUGGUACAUAGGCACGUAGUAGUGUUAAAUCCUGCUUAAAUCCUGCAUGCAGGACAAGAUGGUACAGGAGAUACGGGCAGGAAAUAUCAGAGUGGCAUGCACAGACAUACCCCUCUGUUCUCAGUGUUCUCUGCUUGUUUUCGCUUUCAUCAGAUUUUAUGAGGUUUGCCAGAUUGGAGUAAAAAGCUGAUUUGGCUGUUUUUUGUGGUAUUGAUGAAGGUAUUUGUUUGGGGAAUGGGGAUACAUUUACAUGAUGGGAAAUUAAUUAAUUGAUACAUGUGGGGAAACAGAAGACCUGUUUGGUUUAAAUUCCCCUGGUGCAACUGCAUGGUAUUUGCAACUAUAAUGAGUCUGGACUAUGAUCAAUUAACCAUAUUAAUGCAGUUAAACAGGUUAAUGUAAAAUAAUGAAUUAUGUUGCCUUACACAUAUGGCACUUCCAAGGACGUUUCAUGAUGAUUAUUACGGUCGUGUCAAUCAUGUUAUAUACUUAGGCUAUUGUAACACACCAUAUGCCAGCAUUGUAGGCCUACUGCCUCUGCCCAGAGGCCUACUUUCAUGGCAACGGCUGUUGCUAACUUUGCCACGUAUGAGUGCUGGUUAGAGCCUGUUGCAGAUUUCACUCUCUUCCGCUGUGUUGGUGGCAGCAUUGGGAUCACAUCCAGCUCUCAUCUAGUUAUGUUAUGUGGGAAGCAUUCUGUUUUUCAACAUUGUGUUGGGUGUAAUUACAUUGAUAUAUCUUGUGAACAAUGAAUAAGCAGCAAUGGGUGUGACAGAGAAGUAGUCACUACAGGUGUGAUCAAACCUUACAUCAAAAUUGCCUGAAGCGGAAAGGAAAAUGCUAUGUCCUGACCAGUUAUUCAGGAGAAAAUCCUCUGUGACUGUCUAAUUUACCAGUGUGGACCCAAAACAAACACAUUCUACACAUUUACAAAGGAGCUGUUUAAAGUGUUGUUACAACCAUGGUGUUCUGUUGUUACUGAAGCAUAUACAUCUAAUAACCUGACAAUGAUCCACAUCAUAUGGGGAGACAAAUAAUGUAAGUGUGUUGUCCUUUUAGGAUGCAAAUCAAUAAUAUGAAUCACUGUUGGUCCAUCCUGUUCUGAUCUAAUGAGAUGGAUGUAGGAUUUUCAAGGCUUAGAAUCGAGACCUUUUCCAGUCAUGAAGAAAAAAGCUAGGCACCUCUUGGUUCUCAUUGGUGAAGACUGAAGUCAAGUUAGGACAGUGGUGGAAAAAGUACCCAUUUGUCAUACUUGAGUAAAAGUAAAGAUACCUUAAUAGAAAAUGACUCAAGUAAAAGUGAAAGUCACCCAGUAAAAUACUACUUGAGUAAAAGUCUAAAAGUAUUUGGUUUUAAAUAUACCUAAGUAUCAAAAGUAAAUGCAAUUGCUAAAAUAUACUUGAGUAAAAGUAUAAAUGAUUUCAAAUUCCUUAUAUUAAUGUAACGUCUGCUUCCAAUUCACACUCAAACACGUAGAUCCCCUGAACACAGCUCACUCUCCAGAUCCCAAUCACCUGAAUUCUGAUCACCUGUUCACACACCUGUAUGUCAUUAUCACACACUAUUUAGUUCAGUUCUUUGCACCCCAUCAUUGUGAGGUAUUGUCAUGUUCUGACCUUUAUUUCCUUUGUUUUGUCAUUAUUUAGUAUGGUCAGGGCGUGAGUUGGGUGGGCAGUCUAUGUUUGUUUUUCUAUGAUUUGGGUAUUUCUAUGUUUCGGCCUAGUAUGGUUCUCAAUCAGAGGCAGGUGUCAUUAGUUGGCUCUGAUUGAGAAUCAUACUUAGGUAGCCUGGGUUUCACUGUGUGUUUGUGGGUGAUUGUUCCUGUCUCUGUGUUUCGCACCAGAUAGGGCUGUUUUUGGUUUUCCACAUUUAUUGUUUUGUAGUGUUCAUGUUUAUCUGUUUUUAUUAAACAUGAAUCAAUAUAACCACACUGCGUUUUGGUCCUCCUCUACUUCACCACAGGGAAACCCUUACAGGUAUUGUUUGUUUUGUGACACACUUCUAUUCAGAGAUCUGUUUUUCCCAUAAUUUAAUCCUCCCGUGUAUGAUAGUGAGGCAGGCAAAAACUAACAAUGCCUUUUGCCUAUUCCCUGCUUGUACUUCAGCCCAUCGGAUUACCUGUUAUGUAUUUCCUGAUCACCCGGACGAUGUUACUAGCCUUUUCCCUGCCUGUACUGUUGCCUUUUUGGACCUCCUGCCUGCCCCUGGACCCAGCUACCUGUCUCCUCCUGUGGUCCAUUACAAAUGAACACCUACUGCACCCUGUGCUUGAAACCACCUCUGUCUCCCAUCGUGUUCAUUACAAUUAAGCUAACCAGACGGCACAAUUUUUUUAUCUCCUGUCUUGCUAAGCAUUCAAAAUGUAAGGAGUGUCAGAGAAAAUAUAUGGAGUAAAAAGUACAUCAUUUUCUUUAGGAAUGUAGUAAAGUCAAAAAUAUAAAUAGGAAAGUACAGAUACCCCAAAAAAAACAACUUAAGUAGCACUUUAAAGUAUUUUUACUUAACUGAGAUAUGCGUUUUGUC